AGAUAAAGCCUGACUUCAGAUUACUGCUGUGAACUGAAUAGAUUGGCGUGUGCUUCCAGAUGGGAACUUUAUAGUGCAAAUGGGUAUUUCAGGCAUUGCGGGUCAUUGGCAACAAGAAUGAAGACGAGAUAAAUCAAGGUCCCCACACCAAUGAGGUUUGAUAAUUCUCCCACUACUGAGUGGACCCCAGGCCCAAUUCUAUUCACCAUGCACAUUAAUUCCCUGCUUUAGCACCAAGGAGCAGAUGUUUCUUCGCUCCUGCAGAGGUGUCAAUGCGAUGUCGGAGCUGGUGAGAGACACAAAUAGGGCAGUGGGGCUGGCAGCCUCAACACUCGCAGAAGCACCUCUGCCUGAAGACCUGAGCUCACCUGCUAGGAAUCCCUGGCAUUCCCUCAUUCUAAUGCAUUGCUGUCCAAGUUCUGCUGAUGCUUCCCAAGGUAACCCUGUUCUCUUACUGAGCUUUCCUCCAGAAAUGGAGAAGGACAUCCACCCUGCCUUAUCCUGCCAUUGAAAUCUUCCACAGCAGAGGGAGAGGUCUAUUCAGCUACCAGUCUCUUCCUGCAUCUGGAGACAUGUCUCCUGCUUCCCACACAUAGAAUCUUAGAGUUGGAAGGGACCCAAGGGUCAUCUAGUCCAACCCCCUGUGAUGCAGGAAUCUCAACUAAA